UUUUGUGAUGUGCGUGAUCCCCUAUCCGUGGAAAAAUUGUCUGUAUGAAACUAGUUGGUGGGGCGAAAAACGUUAGAGGUCGCUAUAGUAGAGAGAAUCGAGAAGUCAUAGGCGACAAGUGUACACGGGGCAACAACUGCACGAACACUCGGUGGUGCUGAAAGGAAAACAAAAGCAAAAAAAGAAAAAAAAUGUGGAAUUUCAACUAUGAGACGUUGAAUGUGGAGAAUGCACAGGUGAGCGAAGGAGCGGCCACUCCACUUGACAGCAGUAUCAUAGAUAGCGCAGUUAGGAAUAUCAGGCCCAAAAAGUAGCUGUUCCAUUUGAAAUCGUGUAUGUGAUGUUUAAAAUAUCUGGCGAAGUAAGAUUCAGACACCUUGAUCGCCACAUUUAAUUACAUAAAGGCAAAGGUAUCAACAUAUGAAAGAAUAUCAUACGUACAACUGUGGUAUCUGUAUCCGUGUAUUCUAGGAUCCCUGUUAUUGGUUAAUGGCCUUAUUUCCUUCCUGGUUAUACCCAUCAUCGCCACCACAUCACCUUUCGCCUCGCUACUACCUCUCAUUCUCUCCUUCACUAUUACCACUAUAAAACAGACGCUCCAUCACCACUACCAUUUCCCCCGGGGGUCAACGCAAUCGCCUGUUCCUAUAUUCAUUAUCACCACCAUCGCCACUGCCAUUAGCACUAACGCUAAGUCCAUUACUAUGAUCGCUAUCAUCAAUCACCACAAACCCUGUCUUCACUAUCUUUGACCCCAUGUACACCACAACAUCCCCACUCCUUUAGCCCCCACCCCGUUACAAACAUUACAAACCUAGAAUAGCUUUCUCUCUGUGUGUCUUUCUACCUAGGUUCUCUGUAUAACUAGCUAUACUAAAUUACAAACCACAAGUAGGUUUUGAUCCUAUUUUAUUGGACUCAUGGCUAUAGAUUAAAGGUGUGUAUGUAUUUACGCUUACAUGUAUAUGUGUGUGUAUGUAUGUAUGUAUGUAUGUACGUACGUACGUAUGUAUUUAUGUAUAUAUGUAUGUGAACCGUAUCUAACAUUUAACUACUUCAUACAGACAACGCAAUCACCUUAAGUUUGCACUAUAUACUUUGACAAAAGUAAUACUACCAAAUAGCCAGUCAUUAUGAAUAACAGUACCCACUGUUAAGCCACCACUAAAACCGCCAUCUCUGCUGUAUUAACUCCAGUACCACCCAACCAUCACCACCACCACCGCCGCCGCCACCACCUUACUAUCAACAUCACUGCGAGUAUUAUCACAUUAAGAUUGUCAGCAGAAACCGACACACACACACCACCACCACCGUUAGAAGUACCGCUACUAUGGCCAUCACUACACCAAUGCUAUUCCACCACCUCCACCCCUAACAUCUCUCUACUACAAACAUCAUCAGUUUCCAACCAUUGAAUAACUUACUGCAGAUUCCUUUACAAGCAACUAACAGUAAUAUUGGUCGAAGUGAAUGCUUUUCUCUCAUAUCAAGACAGACAUCUCUAAGUAACAAUUGAAUAAUAUUCUGGGCAGGUGACAGAUACAGAAUUUCAUACCUGAUCAACCCAUACAAUAUUCAAUUACUGGAGCAGCCAAUACUCAAUGAAACCCACAAGUUUUUUCUAUCUGAAUAUAAUAAUCCAGUGAUGGAGACAAGGAAUGACUACAUUGAUAAAUUUAGUCAUUAACUAGAAAUACUCAGUAAAAUCCCACAAUUACUAGCCAAUACAUGCAAAAGGAAUACUUCUAUGUAUACAACUAUUUUAUUUUAAAACAUAUAUUGUCUUACAAAAACAGAGGUUAAUUUAAUGAAUACAAUUAAUUUAAUGAAAACAGAAAAAGCAUGAAAUCUGGGAGAAAAUAUUUUCAGUUGACUGAACCAAGGAUAUCAGAAUAUCUCUCUUACUCUGAAGUGGUGUAAUAUCAUCCUUACCAGAGUAAUAUUGCCUUCAUCUUCAAAACUUAGAAAUACUAUAAUUUAACUGAAGAAUUAUGUUGCAACAGAUAUAUGAAUUCAAACAGAACUCACUGAGAAUACACAACAACAAAAAAGAUAAAAGCAGCAAUUAUCAUUAAUGACAUAAUUUUCCAUUGAUUUUUAAUUUCUUUUAUUUGCCACAAUUGCAAGAUGUUUAUAAAAUAGAAUGACACAUUUGUUUUGACAUUUAAGAUUUAUAUAACAAUAAAAAUCAUAAUAAUUUGGGAUAUUGUAUUUAUUUUCAAGCAUUCAUAAAGACUCUAGCUUUCAUAUUUCCUCCUCUAUAGAAAAAUGCCACUCCUUCACCGGAUUCUUCGAGAUAACAUAGAAAUGGCCGUAUCUACUUUAUCAUCUCUAAAUCAAACUGUUCCUGUCGUUGGGAAUGUAAACAUACCAAUCAUACGGAAUCUCAACAACACAUCUACAGAUUCAGGAAUACUGAACACCUCUGUGGACAAUUCCCUUACUUCAGGGCAAAUUAAAAUGAGUGAGUUACUAAUCAUCAAAGUAGUAGUGCUCGUUGGUGUUGUUAGUAUCUUGCUGUUAUCAUCUUGCCGUUUUGUCUUUAAAAUGUUUUCUCGUUACAUAACGGACAGUAAAGAUGACAGGGAUCUUUCUUUUGGAUAAAUACUUUGCUCAGUAUCCCAUCACCAUAGCCAUUCCUAAUAUCACUGCAAAACCCUUCUUCAAUUUGACUGAACUUUUGAAUAAAUUCUCCAGAAGAAAAAAAGAAAUAACUGGUUGAAUAUUUUCACAAAAAACUAACUGAAAUAUAAAUAUCUUCCCUAUCCUUUCUAAUUGCUUAGUUCUCAAUAUUUUUUUCUGCUGCAGAAAUAGAGACUAAAUUUUAAAUUAAAAGAAAAGUUUAGGAUAUAUCCAUUAUUUUUUUAAAGAAUUUUAUUCACAGUUUUGAAAUAAAGAAAGAAAAUGUUUGACUCUGA